rnacentral:rRNA from 1 species
CGUUCAACCUCACCCUUCCUUGUUUAUCCCGCCUAUAUACCGCCGUCGUCAGCUUACCCUGUGAAGGCCUAAAAGUAAGCACAACUGGCACAACCCAAAACGUCAGGUCGAGGUGUAGCGCAUGGAGGGGGAAGAAAUGGGCUACAUUCCCUAUACUAGGGAACACGAACGGCGCACUGAAACACGCGCCUGAAGGAGGAUUUAGUAGUAAGCGGAAAAUAGCGUGUUCCGCUGAAAUCGGCCCUGAAGCGCGCACACACCGCCCGUCACUCUCCCCAAGCCUAUCACUUUAAUUAAUUAAAAACCCAAAAAUCGCGAAGGGGAGGCAAGUCGUAACAUGGUAAGGGUACCGGAAGGUGCACUUGGUAAUAU